AGGAGGAAGAAAGGUUGGAGGAAAACAGAAAAUUGUCAACCAAUUCCUUAUGCAAAUUUGGGAGUGCUGAUUUGGGAAUGCUGAUGUCUGAGACCAGGAGAUUACAGCAGGACCAGUGCAUUUACCAGGUGGCUCUUCUCCAGCUGUGUUUGGCAGCCCAUGAACAGCAGUGGAGAAGGAAUGCCAUGAUUAACUGGCCAAUGCCACAGGUCUACGGGAGUUAUUCCAUUCUGAUUGCUGCCUCUGUUGUGCUAUUGAUAACAAUACUCACCUUGCCUUUGGCAGUUGACUGCCACCACUUGGCUCCUGUCACCACCAUGCCCAAUUACUCCGGCUGUAUUUAGGUGUUUCAGUUGUGUGGCAGCUGUUCCCACUGUAAGGUGUGGCCUUCGGAGAAGAGCCAUCAUGGAGCUCAUGGAAGAUGCCAAACUCCCCUCACAAAUUAAUUUCUCAAUAUAUUGGUGAAAAGCAUAUCAUCUGGACCCUUCCAAUGUAGGUGGCGGAAAUGAUACAUUUGGAGCUUACACCAAAGCAGCAGCAGAAAACCUGGGAAGAGGGAAGAAAAUAAAGUAGAAGGCUCAGGCGAAACAGACGGAGGUGCUGAAAGGAAAGCCUCAGAACUUUCUAAGCCUUGUGGUUGCUUCUUGAGGCCUGGCUGCCUUUCUCCUAGGGGAGUUCUUCAAACACACUUCUGUUCUUCUAACAAAUCUUCCCUUUUGA